AUUGCCUGCCCAGUGACUGUAGUUAAACGGCCGCGGUAUCCUGACCGUGCAAAGGUAGCAUAAUCACUUGUUCCUUAAUUAGGGACUUGCAUGAAUGGCUAAACGAGGGUCCAACUGUCUCUUAUUUUUGAUCAGUGAAAUUGACCUUCCAGUGAAGAGGCUGGAAUCCUAAAAUAAGACGAGAAGACCCUAUGGAGCUUAAAUUAAUAACUUAUAUGAAUAUCUUCCAUAAACCUAAUGGAAUAAAAACAGAAAUAAUAAGCUUAAAAUUUUGGUUGGGGUGACCUCGGAGAACAGAAAAUCCUCCGAACGAUUAUAACAUAGACCAACAAGUCAAAGUAAACCAAUUUUCCAAUUGACCCAAAAAUUUGAUCAACGGACCAAGUUACCCUAGGGAUAACAGCGCAAUCCUAUUUAAGAGUCCAUAUCGACAAUAGGGUUUACGACCUCGAUGUUGGAUCAGGACAUCCCAAUGGUGCAGAAGCUAUUAAUGGUUCGUUUGUUCAACG
rnacentral:rRNA from 1 species